UAAGACGAACCGUGCGAACGUUGUUCGGAAUCACUGGGCUUAAAGGGCGCGUAGGCGGGUGAUCAAGUCAGGGGUGAAAUCCUUCCGCUCAACGGGAGAACAGCUUCUGAUACUGGUCAUCUUGAGGGGGGUAGGGGCAUGUGGAACUUCCGGUGGAGCGGUGAAAUGCGUAGAUAUCGGAAGGAACGCCGGUGGCGAAAGCGACGUGCUGGACCCUUUCUGACGCUGAGGCGCGAAAGCCAGGGGAGCAAACGGGAUUAGAUACCCCGGUAGUCCUGGCCCUAAACGAUGGGUACUAGAUUGUGGACUAAACAUGGGUUCACAGUCGAAGCAAAAGUGUUAAGUACCCCGCCUGGGGAGUAUGGUCGCAAGGCUG
rnacentral:rRNA from 1 species